CCAGCACCCCGAGUGGUCGGGACGAUUAUUGGGCCUAAAGCAUCCGUAGCCGGUUUUACAAGUCCUCCGUUAAAUCCAACUGCUUAACAGAUGGGCCGCGGAGGAUACUAUAAGACUAGGAGGCAGGAGAGGCAAGCGGUACUCAGUGGGUAGGGGUAAAAUCCGUUGAUCCAUUGAAGACCACCAGUGGCGAAGGCGGCUUGCCAGAAUGCGCUCGACGGUGAGGGAUGAAAGCUGGGGGAGCAACCCGGAUUAGAUACCCGGGUAGUCCCAGCUGUAAACGAUGCAGACUCGGUGAUGGACUAGCUUUAUGCUAGUCCAGUGCCGCAGGGAAGCCGUUAAGUCUGCCGCCUGGGUAGUACGGUCGCAAGACUG
rnacentral:rRNA from 1 species